rnacentral:rRNA from 1 species
UACGGAGGAUCCAAGCGUUAUCCGGAAUCAUUGGGUUUAAAGGGUCCGUAGGUGGCCCAGUAAGUCAGUGGUGAAAUCUCCCCGCUCAACGGGGAAACUGCCAUUGAUACUGCUGGGCUUGAAUUAUUGGGAAGUAACUAGAAUAUGUAGUGUAGCGGUGAAAUGCUUAGAGAUUACAUGGAAUACCGAUUGCGAAGGCAGGUUACUACCAAUGGAUUGACGCUGAUGGACGAAAGCGUGGGUAGCGAAC